UACGGAGGGUGCAAGCGUUAUCCGGAUUCAUUGGGUUUAAAGGGUACGUAGGUGGAAAGGUAAGUCAGUGGUGAAAGCCCGCAGCUUAACUGCGGAACUGCCAUUGAUACUGCCAUUCUUGAGUGCAGUUGAGGUAAGCGGAAUGUGGCAUGUAGCGGUGAAAUGCAUAGAUAUGCCACAGAACACCGAUUGCGAAGGCAGCUUACUAAACUGUAACUGACGCUAAGGUACGAAAGCGUGGGGAGCAAACAGG
rnacentral:misc_RNA from 1 species